UACAGAGGUCCCAAGCGUUGUUCGGAUUCACUGGGCGUAAAGGGUGCGUAGGUGGCCGGGAAAGUUCGGUGUGAAAGCUCCAAGCUUAACUUGGAAAUGUCAUCGAAAACUUCCCGGCUUGAGGAUUGAAAGGGAGACUGGAAUUCUCGGUGUAGCAGUGAAAUGCGUAGAUAUCGAGAGGAACACCGGUGGCGAAGGCGAGUCUCUGGGCAAUUCCUGACACUGAGGCACGAAAGCUGGGGGAGCAAACAGG
rnacentral:rRNA from 1 species